rnacentral:rRNA from 1 species
CCUACGGGUGGCUGCAGUGGGGAAUUUUCCGCAAUGGGCGAAAGCCUGACGGAGCAAUACCGCGUGAGGGAGGAAGGCUUUUGGGUUGUAAACCUCUUUUAUCAGGGAAGAAUUUGUGACGGUACCUGAUGAAUCAGCAUCGGCUAACUCCGUGCCAGCAGCCGCGGUAAUACGGAGGAUGCAAGCGUUAUCCGGAAUUAUUGGGCGUAAAGGGUCUGUAGGUGGCUCAUCAAGUCUGCUGUCAAAGCGUGGGGCUUAACUCCAUACAGGCAGUG